AGUGAACGCUGGCGGUAGGCCUAACACAUGCAAGUCGAACGGUAACAGGUCUUCGGAUGCUGACGAGUGGCGAACGGGUGAGUAAUACAUCGGAACGUGCCUAGUAGUGGGGGAUAACUACUCGAAAGAGUGGCUAAUACCGCAUGAGAUCUACGGAUGAAAGCAGGGGAUCGCAAGACCUUGUGCUACUAGAGCGGCCGAUGGCAGAUUAGGUAGUUGGUGGGAUAAAAGCUUACCAAGCCGACGAUCUGUAGCUGGUCUGAGAGGACGAUCAGCCACACUGGGACUGAGACACGGCCCAGAAUCCUACGGGAGGCAGCAGUGGGGAAUUUUGGAAAAUGGGCGAAAGCCUGAUCCAGCAAUGCCGCGUGAAGGAUGAAGGCCUUCGGGUUGUAAACUGCUUUUGUACGGAACGAAAAGCCCUGGGUUAAUACCCUGGGGUCAUGGCGGUACCGUAAGAAUAAGCACCGGCUAACUGCGUGCCAGCCGCCGCCGUAA
rnacentral:rRNA from 1 species